AACGAACGCUGGCGGCAGGCCUAACACAUGCAAGUCGAGCGCACCUUCGGGUGAGCGGCGGACGGGUUAGUAACGCGUGGGAACGUGCCCUUCUCUACGGAAUAGCCUCUGGAAACGGAGAGUAAUACCGUAUACGCCCUUUGGGGGAAAGAUUUAUCGGAGAAGGAUCGGCCCGCGUUAGAUUAGAUAGUUGGUGGGGUAACGGCCUACCAAGCCUACGAUCUAUAGCUGGUUUUAGAGGAUGAUCAGCAACACUGGGACUGAGACACGGCCCAGACUCCUACGGGAGGCAGCAGUGGGGAAUCUUAGACAAUGGGGGCAACCCUGAUCUAGCCAUGCCGCGUGAGUGAUGAAGGCCUUAGGGUCGUAAAGCUCUUUCGCCUGUGAUGAUAAUGACAGUAGCAGGUAAAGAAACCCCGGCUAACUCCGUG
rnacentral:rRNA from 1 species